rnacentral:lncRNA from 1 species
CUGCGCAGUCGCUGAUGACGUCACAGAGAACAAGGCCUUUGAGCUGGGCCUUGAGGAUGAGUAGGGGGUUGUCAACUGGAGGGAGGGAGGCCCCUCCAGGCAGAUGGGUCCUGUGUGGCUGGAGGGAGCCCUGUGGGAGAGGCAGGGCGGAUGGAUGGAGGCCCAGCCGGGAGGCCUCUGAGAGCUGACACGGAGGAGAGAGCGAGGAGGCAUCACGACUCCUCAAAGGGGUGGGGAUCACAGACAGCGGAGCGUCAGGGAGGGGAGCUCUGAGAGUCUGGCCCAACCCAGAACGGAGGGACAGAGGGGACACUGCAGUCGCCAGCUCCGUCCCACGUCCCUCACCCUCCUUCCUCACUGCAUCCUCACAAUGACUCUAUGGCCGUGAUGUGGUAGUUCCAUUCUACAAACAUAAAAUGAAAGACCAGCGCCCCCCUCACCCCAGGGUAACCCGGUCUGGAUCCAGCUGCAUCGCUCCCUCGAUUUCCUGCAUAGGUAGACUUGCCAUCCACACGCAUUACCAAAAGGCACUGGGGUGGUUUCCAGGCUCUGCGAGCAAGCCAAGAGCUGCUCUGAACACUGUGCCACGUGGCUCUUGCUGUGCCGACGGAACUGCUCUGUCAUCAGCCAGAGUGGAUUCUGUUCCUCGCCUCUUAUAACCCCGAUGAUGCAGAGGAGAGUCUGAACUCGGGCCCGUCCGCCAACGAGCAGAGGUGCCGAGACAGGGACCAGGGAGUGUGUCUGGAGAUGGAGAUUCGAGAGGAGGUGGAGCGGAGGCUAGAACUCCAAGAGUCACCCACGCCCUCGAGCGAGGACCCCAAAGGGCACAGCAAGAACACAGCAGGCGUCAGACCCUGGAGGGACUUGAAGGCCAAGGACCAGAAUGUUGACAUUCUUCUUUGUUUUUUUUAAACCAAUCUUGAUUAUUCUUGACCCUGAGUACACAUCUUUUCCAUCUUCUACGUGAGGAACGGCAAGCACGGGGUGAAGGUUUCUGCCGCACAGAGAAGCACCAAGGCUAUCGCCAGGAAAGCUCUCGUGCGGUGGUUCUGAGUUCCUCCUGCCUCCCCACGCGUUAGAAGAGAGUGGCACCCCGGGUCUGACCUUGCCAAAAUUGUCCGCUCCUCUAGGAAGGAAGAAAUCUCUACACUGAUCAGCAAAAUGUUUCUGUAAUUCUGGAAACCCAGUGACCAGGUCACUAGCUUUCAGGCUGUCUUGUCUCACAGCUGCUGAGGCUGAUAAGUGACGUUCCAUCUUUUUAGGCUACAUUAAUUUAAAUAAAG